GCAAGUCGAGCGCUUUCUUCGGAGAGAGCGGCGGACGGGUGAGUAACACGUGGGAACGUGCCCAAAGGUACGGAAUAGUCGAUGGAAACGUCGCUUAAUACCGUAUGUGCCCCUUCGGGGGGAAAGAUUUAUCGCCUUUGGAUCGGCCCGCGUCUGAUUAGCUAGUUGGUGAGGUAAAAGCCUACCAAGGCGUCGAUCGGUAGCUGGUCUGAGAGGAUGAUC
rnacentral:rRNA from 1 species